ACCCGGCUAUGGAACAGUUUCCUGAUCCUAUUUGAAAAGCCUGCUUGUUAUCUGUGGGCAUUUCUCAAACUUCAAAUCUCAGUCAUAAGGACUACCCUUGAUGAAAAUGAACAGCAGGGGAAAGAUGAAAAGGCCACAACUAAUCCAGUCCCUCGUCCAUCGAAGUCGAGUUUGGUUGCUGGAGUGAAGCCUCAUUUUCUGAGAUGGAAGGCAAGACAGGUGGUCUUGAUGUCUUCUGGAUCUUAACAGAGCAUGGUCCUGGUAGGGUCCAACAAUUGGAUGACAACACACAAAUGGUGUUUAGCAACAGAGGGGUUCUGGAUGUCUCAGACUUGGGGAUCUACCUGUAAUGCUGUCCCUGGCUAGAAUACCACCUGUGGAAUUAUAAUUCCAUUGAGGAUCCAGAUCAGGUACUGUCUCCAUUCCAAUUGGAUAUGCUCUAUCUGUUUGAUGAAUCUCAUCUGCAUGAACUCUUGCUUGUUCCCCAUCUCACCAGCAUUC
ensembl:antisense Gm12081 predicted gene 12081